rnacentral:rRNA from 1 species
AAUGAACGCUGGCGGCAGGCCUAACACAUGCAAGUCGAACGGAUCCUUCGGGAUUAGUGGCGGACGGGUGAGUAACGCGUGGGAACAUACCCUUUGGUACGGAAUAGCCUCGGGAAACUGGGAGUAAUACCGUAUGUGGUCGAGAGACGAAAGAUUUAUCGCCAAAGGAUUGGCCCGCGUUGGAUUAGGUAGUUGGUGGGGUAAUGGCCUACCAAGCCGACGAUCCAUAGCUGGUUUGAGAGGAUGAUCAGCCACACUGGGACUGAGACACGGCCCAGACUCCUACGGGAGGCAGCAGUGGGGAAUCUUAGACAAUGGGGGAAACCCUGAUCUAGCCAUGCCGCGUGAUCGAUGAAGGCCUUAGGGUUGUAAAGAUCUUUCAGGUGGGAAGAUAAUGACUGUACCACCAGAAGAAGCCCCGGCUAACUCCGUGCCAGCAGCCGCCGUAA